GUCCGCAAGCCAGCGGGGCGAGGCGGCUGGGCCCUGCGCGUCAGGUCCCGGCCUGGGGCACCGGGGCUGCCAGCGUCGGAGGAGGCCUGAGAACUGGGAGGAAGCUGGAGAAAAGAUGCCCUCUGAAUCUUUGUGUUUGGCUGCCCAGGCUCGCCUUGACACCGAAUGGUUGAAAACAGAUAUACAGAUGAUAGUGUCGAACCAAGUGGAACAAAGAAAGAAGAUCUGAAUGACAAAGAGAAAAAAGAUGAAGACGAAACUCCUGCACCUGUAUAUAGGGCCAAGUCAAUUCUGGAGACCUGGGUGUGGGUCAAGCAACCAGGAAACGGAAGCCCAAAGAGGAGGGGAGCUUACAGCAGGCCCUGGACUAGGGAUUAACACAAAAACAACAGCAACAAAUCUGAUUUAAGCUUCACACAUAAUCAAGGGAAACUGAUGCUUCAGAAAGAUGCCCCAUCUGUAUCCUGUGGCACUCAAAGUACCCCAGGUUGAGAUGAGAUGAGGAAGAUUCAAGUUGUCAAGUCCAGUUUCCCAAGAUCUCUUGCACAGAAGAUGAGCAAAUCUCACUUCAAAGAUCACUGACUGAUGGGCACUCUGGUCCCAGAACCAUGGAGAAUUCAAAUAUGAGGUGGAUAACUUAGAAAAAACUGUUAAAGUCUCUCUGGAGAGUAGAAGCCUGGGAGAAAACCAAACCAAACCCAUUCUCCCAUCAGUGCUGCGCCCAAGUUGCCUCUUUGAGAUUGGCGUGGGGUCACAGGGUUGGGACCCAGGUACUUGGAGACGUGAGCCCAAAGAGCCCAGGGAAGUCAGGCUUGGGGCAGUGGUAGGUGAGGGCUGAGUAUGGAGUGGGGAGCCCCAGGAGUCACCUGCCCAAAGUCACCCUGGGGUGACUGG
rnacentral:lncRNA from 1 species